rnacentral:rRNA from 1 species
UAGGGAAUCUUCGGCAAUGGGGGGAACCCUGACCGAGCAACGCCGCGUGAGUGAAGAAGGUUUUCGGAUCGUAAAGCUCUGUUGUUAAGGAAGAACGAGUGUGAGAAUGGAAAGUUCAUGCUGUGACGGUACUUAACCAGAAAGGGACGGCUAACUACGUGCCAGCAGCCGCGGUAAUACGUAGGUCCCGAGCGUUGUCCGGAUUUAUUGGGCGUAAAGCGAGCGCAGGCGGUUAGAAAAGUCUGAAGUGAAAGGCAGUGGCUCAACCAUUGUAGGCUUUGGAAACUGUUUAACUUGAGUGCAGAAGGGGAGAGUGGAAUUCCAUGUGGAGCGGUGAAAUGCGUAGAUAUAUGGAGGAACACCGGUGGCGAAAGCGGCUCUCUGGUCUGAAACUGACGAUGAGGCUCGAAAGCGUGGGGAGCGAACAGG